rnacentral:rRNA from 1 species
GAUGAACGCUGGCGGCGUGCCUAAUACAUGCAAGUCGAGCGAACGGACGAGAAGCUUGCUUCUCUGAUGUUAGCGGCGGACGGGUGAGUAACACGUGGAUAACCUACCUAUAAGACUGGGAUAACUUCGGGAAACCGGAGCUAAUACCGGAUAAUAUUUUGAACCGCAUGGUUCAAAAGUAAAAGACGGUCUUGCUGUCACUUAUAGAUGGAUCCGCGCUGCAUCAGCUAGUUGGUAAGGUAACGGCUUACCAAGGCAACGAUGCAUAGCCGACCUGAGAGGGUGAUCGGCCACACUGGAACUGAGACACGGUCCAGACUCCUACGGGAGGCAGCAGUAGGGAAUCUUCCGCAAUGGGCGAAAGCCUGACGGAGCAACGCCGCGUGAGUGAUGAAGGUCUUCGGAUCGUAAAACUCUGUUAUUAGGGAAGAACAUAUGUGUAAGUAACUGUGCACAUCUUGACGGUACCUAAUCAGAAAGCCACGGCUAACUACGUG